GGGAAACGUGCCAUGAUGUCACAUGGCAGUCAUGGGAAAGGACAUGCCUGGCAAUGGUGUUGGCCUUGUUUUCUUCUGGGAUGGGGUCACUGGGCUGUGCUGGGACUGAGAGGAUCUGGAUCUGAGCCCCCAGCUGUGACAAAGCCCUGUGAGCCUGGGCAAGGGGGAGGCUGCAUUUGCUGGGAAGAAACUCCUUUGAUUCCAGUGUGGAGAAAGAGAGAAGCGUGCAGAUUUAAACUGCAUCAGGAGAGUUCAAGCCAGACACGUGGAAGAACAUCCAGGCUGAGGGUGCUGAGAAGGAAAGGGGAAGUAAGCACCUGCCCACUUGACAGUGUUGAAGGGGAGCAGAACUUGUCACCCCAAAAUAUGCCUUUUUGGCAUAAAGAUUAUUUUAGACUGAUUAUUUUUAAGAAACUGCAAACACUGGAGAAGCUAUGAAAACCAAUAAAAAUUACCCUCUUGUAAGAGACAUUUACAUUUAUAGGGGAAAUCUCUAUUUGUAAAGAUGUCUCCCUCUCUAUACCAGGAAGAGAAAGAUGACUUUAAAUCUGUAGAAACUCUUAUCAACGGAGAAGGCAGACUUCAAUCUGCAUUACAGCCUUACCCUUGUUUACUUGCUUUCCUGUAAACCUCCCCUAACGGGCCUCCCCACUACAACACCUUCUUUUGUCUUUAGCUGGAGAUGUUAUUUAAGGUGAUGUCGGUCAACAUCUUGGGCCAUUUCGGGGAGUUACUCAGUUUUUCAGGGUCUCUACCACAUAUACAAGAGGUGUACAUGUUAUUAAAUUUCUGUUUGUUUCUCUCCUGUUAAUCUGUCCUUUUUAUUGUAGGGUGGUCUCAGCCAAGAACCUAGAAGGGUAGAGGGAAAAUUAUUUUUCCUCCCCCACAGUAUCAUCAGCUCUUAGGACAGGAAAUGGCAAAGCCAGUUCCCUAAUUAGGACCCCGUAAGAGUCAAUUACCUGGAGCUACAGCCAAGGGGAAAAUCAAUCAGGGCAGAGAUGAGCUUUCUCAAAGAUCUUUCUGGCUUUGGGCAGGGGAGAGGGUGGCAGGGAUGGGAAAGAAAUGUAGUCUCCCAAGCUGAGGUCCAGGCCUAUCUAAAGGCUUAAUAUUUGUAAAGGUCUGGAAUUGCGAUGGGGGCAAAGGAGGGCUGAAUAAUUUAUAAAGAAAGCAAGUGGAGAAGUGGCUGUUGCUGAUGCUGAGGUCGUGCCUUGUUAGUCUCAAAGCAGUACGCUUGCCCUCCUGGGACAAAAAGCGCAUGUGGUGAUGUUGGAGGAGGCGGGGUACUGUUACCAAGCCCUAAGGGACCGGUGACCUGAAAGUGGGUCUUUUUGCUCUGAGUCACUUGUGCCAACAGAACGAGACUGGGCUCAGAACAGCAGAGGAGAAAUUUUAGUCGCACAUUGAGGACUGGAGAAGAGAAAGCUUGUGCUCUACAGACAGCUUCUCCUUGAAGAUGAGGAAAUGGAGAACAAGGAGGAGGAGCCACGGGAUCAUCAGGACUCUGGAAAAGGGGCAGAGACUUCCAGGAACAGUUGGUACAUGCGCAGUUCUCCAAACUCCUGUGCACAUGGCGCCAAGGUGCCUAGCAAGAUGCUGAAUCGAUUUCCCCAGUCUUUGAGUCUGGCCUUCUCUUGUGACUUGCUUUGAGCAGCAGAAUGUGGCAGAAGGGCUACUGCAUGAGUUCCAGAGCUGGGGUCUCUAGACCCCUGCAGCUUCUGCUUUUCAUCAGAAUACAGCCGGCAGACCACAGAAGAAGGCAGCAAGUCCAGCCUCCUGGAGGUUAAUUUGCAGGCCCUCAUUCACUGGACCCAAGUUGGGAGAGGAAGAGUUUUCCUCCCAAUAGAGGCUAUGUGGAAAAGAAUAGAGAAGCCCCAACAUAUAGCCAGUCCCAAGACUCUAGAAGAAGUCUGGGUGAGGCUAUCUUGGAUCUUCCAGCCCAGCUAAGCCCAGUCAGCAGCUGAAUGUAUCUACAUGAGAGCCCAGGCAAGACCAGCAGAACUGCCCAAUCAAUCCAAAGAAUUGUGAGAGAUAAUAAAUAUUUGUUGUUUUAAACCACUAAGUUUUGGGGUGAUUUGUUAUAUAGCACUAGGUAACUAAUAAACUCAGAGUUUCCAUUUCCUACACACUCUGUACUUUUCUCGUUCUGUUUCCUGCUUGGAACGCUCCCAUCAUGGCCCUA
rnacentral:lncRNA from 1 species